rnacentral:rRNA from 1 species
GACGAACGCUGGCGGCGUGCUUAACACAUGCAAGUCGAACGGAAAGGCCCUGCUUUUGUGGGGUGCUCGAGUGGCGAACGGGUGGGUAACACGUGAGUAACCUGCCCUUGACUUUGGGAUAACUUCAGGAAACUGGGGCUAAUACCGGAUAGGAGCUCCUGCUGCAUGGUGGGGGUUGGAUAGUUUCGGCGGUUGGGGAUGGACUCGCGGCUUAUCAGCUUGUUGGUGGGGUAGUGGCUUACCAAGGCUUUGACGGGUAGCCGGCCUGAGAGGGUGACCGGCCACAUUGGGACUGGGAUACGGCCCAGACUCCUACGGGAGGCAGCAGUGGGGAAUAUUGCACAAUGGGCGGAAGCCUGAUGCAGCAACGCCGCGUGCGGGAUGACGGCCUUCGGGUUGUAAACCGCUUUCGCCUGUGACGAAGCGUGAGUGACGGUAAUGGGUAAAGAAGCACCGGCUAACUACGUG